UACAGAGGGGGCAAGCGUUGUUCGGAAUUACUGGGCGUAAAGGGCGCGUAGGCGGCCUGUUAAGUCGGACGUGAAAUCCCCGGGCUCAACCCGGGAACUGCGUCCGAUACUGGCAGGCUUGAAUCCGGGAGAGGGAUGUGGAAUUCCAGGUGUAGCGGUGAAAUGCGUAGAUAUCUGGAGGAACACCGGUGGCGAAGGCGGCGUUCUGGACUGCAACUGACACUGAGGAACGAAAGCCAGGGGAGCAAACGGG
rnacentral:rRNA from 1 species